rnacentral:misc_RNA from 1 species
AACGAAUUUGAUUUUAGGGUAAGCGGUUGCUGAACAAACUGUAAAAUUGCCGGUGUCGGCAUACAAAAGGCUCCAUCGCACGGUGGCGAAGGAGAGCGGGUUCAAACCCCCUGGAGCCGGUUUAGAUGCACCUCGAGAUGUGAAUCACGAGGGAAGGGCCGAGAGUCAAACCAAUGACUUUUCGAGGCCGUGUAAAGGUUUGCACACAGGACGUUAAAUGGGUUUAGCGGAGCAU